UACGGAGGGUGCAAGCGUUAUCCGGAAUCAUCGUUGGUUAAAGGGUGCGUAGGCGGCUUAGUAAGUCAGUGGUGAAAGACUGUGGCUUAACCAUGGAAUUGCCAUUGAUACUGCUGAGCUUGAAUCAGGUUGAGGUUGGCGGAAUGUGACAUGUAGCGGUGAAAUGCUUAGAUAUGUCAUGGAACACCGAUUGCGAAGGCAGCUGACCUGGACUGUAUUGACGCUGAGGCACGGAAAGCGUGGGGAGCGAACAGG
rnacentral:rRNA from 1 species